AGUAAAAGAUUAUACGUUGGGUUGACUCGACGCUGAGAAUCCUCACGGUUAUAGUCCUCGGUUUUACGAAUGAACUCGUGUAUACGUGAAAAAUAAUAAGGAUGAACCCACCGAUACAUCUUACGAAAGGAGAAAGCCAAAAGGACAGGAACAAUGGAUAAGGAUGUUCCUGGUGAACAGAGUUAGGAGUUAUUACAAGUGGAAAGAAGCAACACGUGGGUAGUUAUAAAGGUGACGGAUAUUUUUAAACCCCGUAUCAUUUCCAUUGUUAUGGCCGAUAGAGUUUACGGGGGGUUAUGUUUGGUGCGCGAAGUGAAGUUACGUUGCUCUCUGUGGACAAAAGGGAAAUGAGAAUUGGUGUUUGGAUGUAAUUUCGACGGCCUGUGUCGGAGGUACGAUUAUAAAUUAAUCAAGGAGUGGAUAAUGAGUCCUUAGCUUGGACACGGUUGCUGCUCUACGUGGGAGCCACUGAUGUCUCUCCGAGGUCUGGCGCCUCUCUUACAUCUCUUUACACAGUGAAAGAAGAAGCCCCCAGCGGAACCACGUAUCUACAAUACGUAUACCGUGAUUCACACCUACGUCCAUUAAGGCGAAUGUGAUUCUCGUGCAAUUAUACUACCCGAAUAGGUUUGCCAAGUUACGCCAGACCGGAGAUUGCUGCUUUCAUGCUAAGCCUAGGAUUUCCACGAAAACAAAUUAAAAUCCACGUGGAUCGUAAUUAAUCUACGGAAGAUUUAAUCUUGAUCGCACGAAAGAUGCAAAGGGAUUAAUAAUCAAGAGGAGUUACAGCAAUAAUACAGAAGGAUGUUUUCCCUAGGAUUCAUUACGAUAACAGGAAAGGCAAGUUCUUAUGAAGUUUACAUGCUGUUAAAUAUAGAUAUAGAUAUAUGUGUGCACAUAUAUAAAUAUACUGUAAAGCGCAUUCAUUUAGCGCACUAACUAUGAAUAAGUGCUCCACAGGCCGACAUUAUUAAAACACGUGAAACCCGGUAUCUCACGUGGUGUAGCCACCGUGACCACAUAGUAAUAGUAAAAGCGCA